CCUACGGGAGGCAGCAGUGGGGAAUAUUGGACAAUGGGCGAAAGCCUGAUCCAGCCAUGCCGCGUGUGUGAAGAAGGCCUUCGGGUUGUAAAGCACUUUCAGUGGGGAAGAAAGCCUUGGGGCUAAUACCCUCGAGGAAGGACAUCACCCACAGAAGAAGCACCGGCUAACUCCGUGCCAGCAGCCGCGGUAAUACGGAGGGUGCGAGCGUUAAUCGGAAUUACUGGGCGUAAAGCGCGCGUAGGCGGUCUGAUAAGCCGGUUGUGAAAGCCCCGGGCUCAACCUGGGAACGGCAUCCGGAACUGUCAGGCUAGAGUGCAGGAGAGGAAGGUAGAAUUCCCGGUGUAGCGGUGAAAUGCGUAGAGAUCGGGAGGAAUACCAGUGGCGAAGGCGGUCUUCUGGACUGACACUGACGCUGAGGUGUGAAAGCGUGGGUAGCAAACAGGAUUAGAUACCCCAGUAGUC
rnacentral:rRNA from 1 species